CCUACGGGGGGCUGCAGUGGGGAAUAUUGGACAAUGGGCGAAAGCCUGAUCCAGCCAUGCCGCGUGUGUGAAGAAGGCCUUCGGGUUGUAAAGCACUUUCAGUGGGGAAGAAAGCCUUGGGGCUAAUACCCUCGAGGAAGGACAUCACCCACAGAAGAAGCACCGGCUAACUCCGUGCCAGCAGCCGCGGUAAUACGGAGGGUGCGAGCGUUAAUCGGAAUUACUGGGCGUAAAGCGCGCGUAGGCGGUCUGAUAAGCCGGUUGUGAAAGCCCCGGGCUCAACCUGGGAACGGCAUCCGGAACUGUCAGGCUAGAGUGCAGGAGAGGAAGGUAGAAUUCCCGGUGUAGCGGUGAAAUGCGUAGAGAUCGGGAGGAAUACCAGUGGCGAAGGCGGCCUUCUGGACUGACACUGACGCUGAGGUGCGAAAGCGUGGGUAGCAAACAGUAUUAGAUACCCCGGUAGUC
rnacentral:rRNA from 1 species